CCACCUGCAGUCGCGGUACAGAUCGGCCCUGCCAGCCCGCCGCCGCACAUGGUGACAGGAGCCACAGGCAGGAACGCGACCCACAGCUCUGGGGACCAUCGGCCCGGCCGCAGGGCGAAGUCAGCAAGGGCAUGCGGCGGCGGUGGUGCUGACUCAGCACAACCUCCCCAGGGUCGCCCAGCAGCCGCAGCAGCCACCCGCAACCGCCGCAGGGCAACGGGCCUCCCCCGCCUCCGGCCCCACCCGGCCGCACCCGAGGGCGCGCGGCGUCACAGAGCGCAUGCGUGCCGCGGGGGAUGCCGGGAGCGCGCAGUGGCGGCAGCGACGGCGACGGCAGUAAUAUCGGCGGCAACAGCGGGGACGGGAGCGGGGCGGUGACCGUGUGGGAGGUGGUCUCACUCUUGGGAAAGCUGCUGGGCACCGUCGCCGCGCUGAAGGUGGUUCUGUACCUGCUCCGGGUGUGCUUAGCGAUGGCCUGGAAAUCCGGCGGCGCCAGCCACUCGGAGCUUAUCCACAAUCUCCGCAAAAAUGGAAUCAUCAAGACAGAUAAAGUAUUUGAAGUAAUGCUGGCUACAGACCGCUCGCACUAUGCAAAAUGUAACCCAUAUAUGGAUUCUCCACAAUCAAUAGGUUUCCAAGCAACAAUCAGUGCUCCACACAUGCAUGCAUAUGCACUAGAACUUCUAUUUGAUCAAUUACAUGAAGGAGCUAAAGCUCUUGAUGUAGGAUCUGGAAGUGGAAUCCUUACUGCAUGUUUUGCACGUAUGGUUGGAUGUAAUGGAAAAGUCAUAGGAAUUGAUCACAUUAAAGAGCUAGUAGAUGAAUCAAUAAAUAAUGUCAGAAAAGAUGAUCCAACACUUUUGACUUCAGGGAGAGUACAACUGGUUGCGGGAGAUGGAAGAAUGGGAUAUGCUGCAGAAGCCCCUUACGAUGCAAUUCAUGUUGGAGCUGCAGCCCCAGUUGUGCCACAAGCACUAAUAGACCAGUUAAAGCCUGGUGGAAGAUUGAUAUUGCCAGUUGGUCCUGCAGGUGGAAAUCAAAUGUUGGAGCAGUACGACAAGCUACAAGAUGGCAGUGUCAAAAUGAAACCUCUUAUGGGAGUGAUAUAUGUGCCUUUAACAGAUAAAGAGAAGCAGUGGUCCAGUUGCUGGCACAGUGCUCCACCUGGCUGAGUGAAUGGCUUCUUUUGGAGCUGAUAAAGCUGCCUUAUGAAGUCAGCUGACAGGGAUGAGCUGUAAAGCAACAUCAGCUUGACCAGUCUAUAAUAUUGCAGUGGAUCGCUCAUCUCAGUCCUUAAAGCUUUUUGAAAACCAAUAGCAUCACAGCUUGUUUUGGACUUUGUUACACUGUUAUUUUCAGCAUGAAAUUUGUGGUUUUGUAGGGUCUUCUAAUUCUUCAAAGAGGCACAGAGCCAAAUGGUAGAGGAAGGAUAUAAAGUAUAAAUCUGUGUGUUAUUACUUUAACAUGCCCACGUUUUACUUUAAAAUAUUAAAAGAAGGGUUUCUGCAAAAUGAAACAGUUAGUUUGUGAAUUGAUUUUUGAGGAGUGAAUUUUCUUUUCUUGGACACUUAAUUCUAUUCUGAUAUUAAUUUAUGAGAUUUCUUUUGUGCAUCAGAUAACACCACCAUUCACAAGUUAAGAUUCUUGGUAUUUGGAUGUCUAUUAGAGACUACUAAGAAAAUAGAGAUGAGCUUUCUUUUUAAAGCUUUUGAUGUGGUAUCAUAGAAUAGCAUGUUGUAGAUACAAUCAGCUGCUUUGUUACCUUGAAACUAGGCAUUGUAAAUACUGAAACUUAAGAAGAUGGCAGGUAAUGUCCUAUCAACACUCAGUUGUUCAGAUUGGACAUAACUGACAUAGCUCCCCCCACCCUUUCUCUCCUCUCCCCAUCUCCCUCUCCCUCUCUCUCUAAAACCAAUAGGAGACUUGUAGUUCAGUAUUGUUUUUUUCUGUUUCUAGUUUGCUGCUGAUAAUGUAUAUGAAUCUAACAUGCUGUGUAAGCUCUGUGCUGGAUUCUGCACAGCUUAUGCAGUGCUGCUUUGCCAAAUAAAGUUAAAAGCAAAAGAGGCAUUGGUGGUGUUUGACUCUAGAAGGGAGAACGUUAGGUCUACAAGAUCCAGAAUGUUGAUUGAGACCAUGAAGGAAAAAUUGCUUCUCUGAUUUGUGAAAUCUGAAUAGGUAAAUAGCACCAAUUCUUCUGUACAUUGUGGAAUGUGACUACAUUUCUUUAGGGCAAGAACCACAUUGCAUUCACCAUUUCUCUCUGAUGGUCUAACCCAGGGCUCAUCUUGCAGUAUUUAGAAAAUAAAUGCCAAAUCAGUGAGUGGGUGAAUGAAUUGACUUAAUUGUCAGGGAAGAAUACAGUGGAGGGUAAACAUACUAAAACCCACCUCUCAUAUAUAGAUUUAUUAUUAUAGUGCCUAUGAAAUGUGUUUCUAAGAAAGUGCCGGCUUUUGGGGAUCUUGUUUACAUGUUGUAGUUUUAUAGAUUUUAUAAGAUCUUGGUUUUCUUAGUGUUCUAGAACUUGAGAAACUAUUACAAGCUCUAGAAUGAGCAGAACCAGAAUGUCCAGCAGUGCCCUCCUGUGUGUAAAGUGUGCAUACUUUUGCCAAGGAGAUCCUGAGUGAGCAUGUGACUCACCCUUCCCURCUCUUAAAAUGUUUAUUACUGCUUUAAAAAUGGCUUUUAAAAAUUAUUCAUACAUCUUUUCACAAGUGUCUCCUCUUGGCUAAGGCUUUGGACAAGGAAAUCUAGCAUUAUUUGAUGCCCCAAAAUGUAAUUUUACCAUUGUCUUCAGUUUACUGUUGUCUGUCACUUCUAAGCCCUUGGCUAUGGAAACCUUCACGUCUAGGACUCAGUGUUACGUGAGGUGUUUGCUAGUCUAUAUCAUAUCCAUUAUACCUACAUUUUAUUCUAUAUAAAUUUCUAUGUUAGGUU